CUUGAAGUAGUGGGCGGCAGUGUGACAGAUUGGACUGGCUUCCAAGACCACAUCAUAGGUCUUCCAAGUAAUGAAUGGUUUCAAAAGAUAAGAGGAACCAUUCCUAAAAGCAAGUGGCUCGGAAACUGGAGGACACAGACACAAGAUAACAGGCGAAAGGUCAAGGGUGGGGAGCAAGGAAAUUCCUUUGCAGGCAGCAACUUGUUAUACUCCACUGUGCUUGUCUAAAGAGAAUUUCAGCACCUGUAGAUUUUUUUGCUUUUCAAUUCCCGGCCAGUUCUGAUGGAACUCAAGGUUUCUCUCCUGUGCAUUGGAGUUUCCAUACCAGGCUGUGAUG